rnacentral:sRNA from 1 species
UCACAAGUUAUGGUGGCAUGGUCCAGAU